GGUCACACCUGUUCCCAUACCGAACACAGAAGUUAAGCCCUUCAGCGCUGAUGGUACUUGGCGGGAAGCUGCCUGGGAGAGUAGGUCGUUGCGACAU
rnacentral:rRNA from 1 species